rnacentral:sRNA from 1 species
GUUCCGGACGCCCCAGUUAAAUUGCUCGAUGGUUUC